GUGGGGAAUCUUGCGCAAUGGGCGAAAGCCUGACGCAGCGACGCCGCGUGGGGGAAGAAGGCCUUCGGGUUGUAAACCUCUUUCAGUGGGGACGAGGCCGGCUGGGUUAAUAGCCCUGCCCGGUGACGGUACCCGCAGAAGAAGCCCCGGCUAACUACGUGCCAGCAGCCGCGGUAAUACGUAGGGGGCAAGCGUUGUCCGGAAUCAUUGGGCGUAAAGCGCGUGUAGGCGGCGCGGUAAGUCCGGUGUGAAACCUUGGGGCUCAACCCCAAGCCUGCACCGGAUACUGCCGUGCUCGAGUCCGGGAGAGGGAAGCGGAAUUCCUAGUGUAGCGGUGAAAUGCGCAGAUAUUAGGAAGAACACCGGUGGCGAAGGCGGCUUCCUGGAACGGUACUGACGCUGAGACGCGAAAGCGUGGGGAGCGAACAGGAUUAGAAACCCGGGUAGUCC
rnacentral:rRNA from 1 species